CUCACCUAUAGAGAAGUCCUUAGGGUUAGAGGUCAGGGGUUAUAGGUCAGACUCACCUAUAGAGAAGUCCUUAGGGUUAGAGGUCAGGGGUUAGACUCACCUAUAGAGAAGUCCUUAGGGUUAGAGGUCAGGGGUUAUAGGUCAGACUCACCUAUAGAGAAGUCCUUAGGGUUAGAGGUCAGGGGUUAGACUCACCUAUAGAGAAGUCCUUAGGGUUAGAGGUCAGGGGUUAUAGGUCAGACUCACCUAUAGAGAAGUCCUUAGGGUUAGAGGUCAGGGGUUAUAGGUCAGACUCACCUAUAGAGAAGUCCUUAGGGUUAGAGGUCAGGGGUUAUAGGUCAGACUCACCUAUAGAGAAGUCCUUAGGGUUAGAGGUCAGGGGUUAGACUCACCUAUAGAGAAGUCCUUAGGGUUAGAGGUCAGGGGUUAUAGGUCAGACUCACCUAUAGAGAAGUCCUUAGGGUUAGAGGUCAGGGGUUAGACUCACCUAUAGAGAAGUCCUUAGGGUUAGAGGUCAGGGGUUAUAGGUCAGACUCACCUAUAGAGAAGUCCUUAGGGUUAGAGGUCAGGGGUCAGACUCACCUAUAGAGAAGUCCUUAGGGUUAGAGGUCAGGGGUUAUAGGUCAGACUCACCUAUAGAGAAGUCCUUAGGGUUAGAGGUCAGGGGUUAGACUCACCUAUAGAGAAGUCCUU